CCGGCGUAUACAGCACCUGGUCCGCGCUCUCUCCUCCACGAGCGGGCCCACUGGACAGGCAACGAUGCGGGCAGCUGUAGCCUUAUCCUCUCCUGGGUCAAUCUGAAUCGCCAUUGCGCAAGGACUUUCACUGCCAUGUCUGCUUCUUCUUCGGUUCUUCCUCUGACCCGCAGGUGCCGGGGACCGAGCUGAUCCCACACCCCAGAUGUGGUCAGGAAGUCAUCAGCGACAUCUCGACCGGCGGGAAAAGGCCAGGCAAUAGGUACUACAGGCGCAUCCUUUGGAGUUCUCGUCAGUGUUGGUUUUUCGAGUGGCAAGAGAUUUAUCCUGCUGUGCUGGAGUCCGUCAGAUCUCGGUCUCUGCCGCCCCCACCAUCCACAGCUUCUCCUGGGCUGUUAGCCUGCAGCACUGGAGCUCGCGUCAGGAAGGAGUCCGAGAGUUCACCGGCUAUUCUGUUUUGAAUGGAUGCGAGCAUGUCGCCCCGGCCAAGGCCGAUUUCUCCAGGAUUGCGCUGCUCAUGCUUGCUACUAUCUUGAUGCUCCAUGUGUUCUUGCUAGGCAUGUCUGUCCGGACACUGGCAGUCGUGUAUUUCAAGUGAGAGGCGCCGUUGGUGUCUUGCUGCUUUUGGGUCGAAAGUUGAGUUAGUAGUAAUGCUAGUGUUUGCUGCGUGUGAGUUUAGUUAAGUACUAGUCUCAAUUAGAUUCAGAUCCGUCAGACAUUUCGUAGUACUGGAAAUGUCUUGGUUUGAAUAUGUGUUAGCUGGUGUUGGCCUGAAAUUGUACAUUGUUGCUAUGUGCAAAUCAGCUUAAAUGUCAAUCCAUGUGUUA